AAACACAAUUUAAAGAUAAUCAGGUGUCCUACUCCAGGCUGUUCUCCUACACCAUUCGUAGCUGUACCUACGUAAAAAGUAAUGCACUGUAAUUCCUAUAUAUUCCACAAAAUCCAUUCGUAUGUAAUUCACGUAAUCGUGAACCAGGAAGUAUAAAGAGUGACAAACGCGGAAGGAGGUUGGGUACAAAA